AUCCCAACAUCAUCUCUUCUCUUCUCUAAUGACAUGUUUACUGGAGAGGGGGUGGGACAACCUGUCACUCAAAUGAGAUCACAGCAAUAGCAAAUCACAACCAUCCAAUCAAUUCCCAGAUAGACAAAAUCAAGUCAGUUUUUCUUGUUUGAGAAGCUGGUCCACUUGGAUAUACAUCACAAUAGUGAAGAAAAGACUAUUGCAAACUCCAUUUCAUGCCGACUUUAAAAUUAUGAUCAUUUUUUGCAGUGUAAAAAGUUUCUUUUAUUGUAACUGCAUUGCCGAGAACAGCCAGUACCUGUUCAAAUUUUCUCCUUUGUGUUCCACAGAAGUAAGAAACUCCUUUGAGCAGGGUUUGGAACGACAUGAAGAGGAUUUGGGGUUUUAUGUCCCAUCUGUCAUGGCACAUUUGUUGGGCUGCAUUACAAACAAAAUCACCCAGUGGGAACAGUGGACCUGAUCCUGAAAUCGAGACGAGAAUCACGUUUCAGUUGCACACAAGGAGAGAAACCCAGUCAGUUUGAUGCCCAGUCAGAAGACGCUGUGGCUGCGGGCGGUGGACGGACGAAAGCCUGCAAGCUUUUCUCAUUUUUACAUAUGAGAUUCCUGGUUCCUGCGUUCCUGCUGAGUAAAUAUUAAAAAAAAAAAAUUGGAGUAAAUUAUUUGGUGAAUCACUCAAAGAUAUUUGCUUGAUUUGUUUCUGAAUGGAUCUUUUUGAAAGAAUUGGUUGUGUGAAUGAUUCAAAAACUUGUCACUAAAUGAAUCAGUAAAAACUUGUCACUUCCUGAAUCAUUUGGUGCAUUCGAAUAGGUAUUACAUCUGAAUUUAUUGUAUAAAUAUGGGUAAUAUGAAUGAAAUUCGGAUUUACAACGUUACUGCAUGUGGCGUACCAGCGUCAGUUGCAUUGCUUCACUGCUACUUAUAAACCCUCUCACAUGGCAUGGGAUAGUAAAGUGUCCCUCGAAUGCACAUUUUAGAAUCUCUGCGAAAGUAGUAGGUCAUCUGGAUACUUUUUGCAUACUGUUUUUUCAAAUACUAUGUAUUUGGACAUAAUAAUAAUCCCAUAUUGUCAUACUGCAAAACACAACACUAUGCACUUUUAAAUGUCUCCAUUCUAUACAUUUAAGGCCUCCUCUUUCAUCAUCUUUUGAAGAAGGAUGACGAGAAGACUUUUUUUUCCCAGGGAGACCUUGAAUGAGGGCUUCUGAAUGAUUAGGCUAUGCUGUUCAUGUAAGCAAGCUUUCACACUGGGAAGAACAGGCCAGGUGAAAAAGAGCUCUUCCAUUAACAUUCACUCACAGGCGUCUUUGCUCAGGGUGCAUCUGUCACACAAGAGUUAGUUGAAAAUAAAUGGCAUGGGAAUGCCAUCUAUUUGUCAGCUAUGAGUGAUGCGGUGCCUGAUUCAGAUCAGGCCACUGCACAUAGUAGAACAACAGCCUCUCAGAAAGAAUACCAGGGGAAAUGGUAAAAAUUGCUUUGGCCCCUCGGUUAUUGUUUUACAGGAUGCGUCAUAUUUUUUGUUGUCCUGCAGAAUCUCAGAAAGAUUCAUGUCAGAUAAGACUAUUACUCGUCCAUGGAUUGAAUCCAAAUGCAACUGGUAGGGAAGCACAAGGAAAAAAAACUGAAGGUCUUGAAUGUUAAAGUUCCUAGCUUACAAAGCACUUGUUAACAAAACAAACAUUUGAUCUAUUUUUCCAGGUUCUACAGAGGUAGUCGAAGAGCUAAGAUCAAGGCCUAAACACUUUUGAGCAGUAAACCUCUUGGAAGUACUAGGUAUAAAAGGCUGAGAUUACUUUUUCAAGGAAAGAAGAGGUUUUGUGCACAGUGAAAGCCCAAGCAUUUGGACUUUUAAAACAAUAUUUUUGUAUUACAUAACAAAAUAUCUAACCAAAUAACAUUCAUUUUAAAGAAAGAUAUAGCACAAGCACACUUUUCACAUGAAAUAUUUUACAAAAAAUGAUGCCAGCGAUGCAGCUGACGCUGGUAUGCCACAGUAAAAUGUUGUACGUUCGAAUUUCUUUCAUAUUACCCAUAUAUAUACGAUAAUAGAUCAAAUAGGGACAAAAAGUACUGGUUGUCAGAUGUUAGUGGAACAGAAUUGGUUAAUCUGAACACCUGUGUGAACUGUGUCCACUAAAAUACAUGGAAGACAGUUGUUUUUCAGUUUUUCCAAGCUUCAGAAUUUAAAAAUAAAAAACUGGAAAGGUAUAACGACUUUAUAUUGUACAGUGUAGCCUACACUGAAAAAUGCUGUAGGAUUUAUUUUGAAAGUUUUCAUUCAGAAAUUGCUAGUAAAUUGAAACUGCAAGUAACGCAUUUCAUUAAAUGUGACAUUUUCAAGUAGAAAGACUAUGAUCGUAUUUUCUUGUAAAACAUACUCCAAUUAUUUACAACUUCGAUUUUUUUUUUUUUUUUACAGUGUAACACUUUCUUUUUUAAAAGGGAUAGUUCACCCCAAAAUGAAAAUUCUGUCACCCUUAUGUCAUACAAAACCUGUAUAACUUUCUUCACUGUACCAUAAAAGAAGAGUCCAUCCAAUGAAGUCAAUCAAAAACAUUCUGGCCAAAUUAUCCCUGUACGAUGGAUGGAUGGUUGGAUGGAUAGUCAAUAAAGUUGAAAAGUUAGUUCACAGAAAAGUUUUCAUUUUGUUUGCAGAUCCCACUAGGUUUGAUAUUUGAUAUCUAAUAGAAUGAAAAUCAAACAAGCAUUCCCACUACUUUUUGGGGCCACUGUAUUAUACAUGUGAUGGAUAUGCCACAAGUCUCCUCCUGGGUGUCUAACACAGUGUCGAUCAAAUUUUCAUUUAUUUUGUACAAGAUUCAUUGGUUUCAAAUAAAAUAUUUUUUUUUUUUACUAACCAUUGGAGCCAAUGGUCAGUGAAGCCAACAGAGAAAAAUGAACAAUUGAUAGACCUGUGAAUUAGAAAAACUCCAUUAAAAUUCAGCUUUGUAUUUUCUUUCAAGCUGCCGGUUAACAAUUCAUGCUCCAACUGUCAUCCUUAAAUACAUCAGUGUACAUUUCGCUUUCACACAGGUCUGAUUGACGUCAACAUUAUUUCAUAUUUUUAAGCCAAAAAUCACAAAUACUAAACAUCUUGGUCACAAGUCACAUGCCUCUUUAACAUAUUUUAAUGCAAAAAUCCAGAUACGGCAGCAGAGAAGUCAUUUGCGUAUUCUAAACACGAAUCAUUUACAGAUAGUGUUGUAUGCAUUUGUGAUUUGUUUCAAAAAUAAAACAAGCUUUCAGCAGCAGAAUAUUCAUCUCCAUGCAAAUUAUUCCUAAGGUGUGAGGAGGAGCAUGCGGUGCGCUCACAGGUGUGUUGUGUGAUAGGCGAAUCUCUCUCAGGGCGGGGUUAAUUGACACCUUUAGUGCCACAAUACGCAAGUGUAUCUGCUGUUUUCGGUCUGUUUGUCAGGCAAAACGCUUGCACUGCAACCUGCCUCUCUUUGUUGACUCCAAGGAAAAAGUGCGGCUGGUAAACGGGCCAUUCUAGUGCUAAACUGUUUUAAAAUGCAAUUCAGCACUGCAGUACAAUCACUGGCUUAUGUUGGGUGAAUAAACGGUCGCAGUCGUCCUGCGUUACUGACUCAGCAUGUGGCACCAUGUGAUCUCGGUUUGUCUGUGCUGCUGCUGCUGUCCCACUGGAAUAUUUUACAAGGGUUCGCAAGAAAUGAGGAAAUGACUUAUGCAGAUUGAAAAGCAAUUGGAAUAACCAUUACUUCGACUCGUUUUUUCUGUAAAGAUGAAUGUGUCUGUAAUGACGUGGCAAGUUUCUGAUAUUACCGGUCAUGCUUGGACAGCAAAUACUGACAAGGUCACGGCCAAGGUCAGAUGAAUGAUUCUAAGGUGCCUUAGUUUGUCUCAAAGUUGUCUAAAAAGUGAUUUUAGUACAUUAGUAACACAACACUGAGUAAGUGCAAAUAACAUUGACCUUAAAACUAAAUAUGCAGAGUAUCAGAAGGUCGACUCGUUUGAUGUUUUUCUCCUUGGCAAAUAAUACGCCUGGGUGAUUUUCUUGUGUAACGAACAAAACUUCUCUGGGAAAAAGCAUGUAAGUGCAGCUGUUUCACAGAACUGCGAUCUCCAAUCAAUUUGGUCGCAAAUCACAUUGUGCUCAGCGCAACUGCAAACACCCUUCAUGCUGUAAACUACACUAACGUGGGUUUAAGUGGGCUCUUAGUCAUGUAUCUGCCUAAGGCCAGCGGUCUGAAGCCAGCAGGACUAGGAUGAAGAGAUUCAGCAGGAGCUUUGGUCUGUCCUUACAACCCAGAAUCUCCAUUCCACUCUCACAGCUGUGUUUACACAUCUCAUGCGCCAUUUGAAUACACCCAAGAGUCCUUGGGUUACAAGUACCCCUUUUUCAAACAAAAUGGUGCUGGUGCUCAAUGUGAGGAUCUGUGAACUUCGGACUCUGAUAGCCUAAUUAUGACAUAACUGACCACAAACAAACAUACAGCAACACAGUUUUUGGCUAUAUUCAUAAUAGCUUGCAUAAGAUGAUACUAAUACAGUUUGCAAGUUAGGGCAUUAUGAAUUAUUCGAAUCUGGAGCAAACCCUUGUACCUCUGCUGAGCGCAGAGGUUUUGAACUCUUGAUCAUUUUCAAAUCUAAGAUGUUCUGGCAGCAGCAGUGGUUGAGUUUGUCACCGUCCCAACACGCAUACAUUUAUUCAGAUCUGACCUUUUGGUGCAGCUUAUGAGUUUUUUCCAGUGUGGCAUGUCAUUUAAUGCAUCGUACUUAACCACCAUCUCUGUGUAAAUCGUAUGUAAUCACAGGGAUUUUUGCUUUUGUGUGGGUCAACAAGAGAUGGAAAAAGCUACGAAUAUUCAGGGUUUCGAACAUUUAUUUCAUGCUUAUAUGUGCAUGGAUACCAGCACUGCUGUUUACAAGAAUCAAACACAGAGGUCGAUUUUAACGUUUUUAUUCCAGUAACAGUGAAUUGACAAACAUAUGAGACUACAUUUUAUUAGUAUUAAAAAAUCCUAAAAAUUCAGUGCAUUUGGGACACAAAUGGAAACUUCAAGUAGUUACUUCAUAUGGAUGAACAAUGAACAAUUCACUGCAAAAAAUUCUGUUUUUGUCUCGUUUCUAGUCAAAAUAUCUUAAAGUUCUUAAAUCAAGAAGCAUUUUCUUGACAAGUAAAAAUAAUUUUCUUGUUUUUAGG